GACCUAACCCCUAUGUUUUCAUAAGGUAUGGUUAAAAAUCCUAUCCUACAUAAAAAUGGUUUUCCAACCAGUACUUGUAGGAUAGGUCUAUGCUCGAAAGGGUGUAGUGGCAUUUUCGCAAGGACUUGUC
rnacentral:sRNA from 12 species